rnacentral:rRNA from 1 species
CCUACGGGUGGCUGCAGUGGGGAAUAUUGCACAAUGGGCGCAAGCCUGAUGCAGCCAUGCCGCGUGUGUGAAGAAGGCCUUCGGGUUGUAAAGCACUUUCAGCGGGGAGGAAGGCGUUAAGGUUAAUAACCUUGUCGAUUGACGUUACCCGCCGAAGAAGCACCGGCUAACUCCGUGCCAGCAGCCGCGGUAAUACGGAGGGUGCAAGCGUUAAUCGGAAUUACUGGGCGUAAAGCGCACGCAGGCGGUCUGUCAAGUCGGAUGUGAAAUCCCCGGGCUCAACCUGGGAACUGCAUUCGAAACUGGCAGGCUAGAGUCUUGUAGAGGGGGGUAGAAUUCCAGGUGUAGCGGUGAAAUGCGUAGAGAUCUGGAGGAAUACCGGUGGCGAAGGCGGCCCCCUGGACAAAGACUGACGCUCAGGUGCGAAAACGUGGGGAGCAAACAGGAUUAGAUACCCCAGUAGUC